UACUAUAUAUAUAUAUAUAUAUCUUGCGUUGAGCUAGAAUACUCUCAAAAACACUAAGAGAGUGAUACUUUUGAGUUUUUAGCCCUUAGAUAGAUAGAUGUAAGGUUGGAAUGAUGGUGGUAGGUGGUGCUAGAUGGUGGUAGGUAGAAUAGUGUUUAAUCCACCGGCUAUUAGUAAUUAAGGAAUAGAUCAAAGGGCUAAAAAUUCAGAAGCACCAAGGAGUUAGUGCUUCUAAAAAUAUUCUAACUGAAUUCUAUAUAUAUUUAUAUAUA
rnacentral:lncRNA from 1 species